GUUCUCAUAGUUAAAUAAUAACGUCGGUUUUUCAAGUCGUUGAUCCUGGUUAAAGUCCGGGUGGGAAUU
rnacentral:tRNA from 1 species